GGAGCUGUCGCUCGUAGCCGGGCACUUCGAUGUGCGCUCUCCACCGCACUCGCAGUAUGGGGGUCGGGGGUUCGAAUCCCCUAGCUCCA
rnacentral:tRNA from 1 species